rnacentral:misc_RNA from 1 species
GAACUUUCUUGUACUCACAGGCAACGGUUAAAAAGCCAAAGAAAGAGGCAGUGGAAAAGAAGGACUAGGAGGAUGGUUCAUUUAGCACCGAGUUACUUUUAAUCGACGGCAUUUUGAAUUUUGUUACUUCAAAACAAGAACUUAAUCAAUUCCAGUAGUUUCAUGUCUGAUGUAUGUAUCAUUUCAUCGUUACUGCUUUCUGUUUUUUGUGGUUUAUCUAGUGGCUUAUACUUGAGUCCAUCUCUCUGAAACACUGCUGAUGAUGUUCCCAUCAAUUUUGAUCUGAGUUUAUUUGGAUAUCUUGUUGUUCAAUGUCAAAUUUACCAAUUAUCAUUGUAGGCGCAAGACAUUACCAAUGUCAAAGGGAC